AAUGAACGCUAGUGGUAAGCUUUAUACAUGCAAGUCGAACGAAAUGAAACUUCGGUUUCGGGAUCGUGGCAAACGGGUGAGUAAUACGUAGGAAUUUGCCUUUUAGUGGGGGAUAACCUCGGGAAACUGAGAAUAAUACCGCAUACUCUUAUUUUAAAGUUGAAAUAAGGAAAGAUUUAUCGCUAAAAGAUAAGCCUGCGCAAGAUUAGGUAGUUGGUGAGGUAAUGGCUCACCUAGCCAAAGAUCUUUAGCUGGUUUGAGAGAAUGAUCAGCCACACUGGGAUUGAGAUACGGCCCAGACUUCUACGGAAGGCAGCAGUAGGGAAUAUUGGACAAUGGACGAAAGUCUGAUCCAGCUAUACCACGUGAGUGACGAAGGCUUUCGAGUCGUAAAGCUCUUUCAUUUGUGAUGAUAAUGACAUUAGCAAAAUAAGAAGCCCUGGCAAAGUCCGUGCCAGCCGCCGCCGUAACAC
rnacentral:rRNA from 1 species